UACGAAGGGGGCUAGCGUUGCUCGGAAUCACUGGGCGUAAAGCGCACGUAGGCGGCUUCUUAAGUCAGGGGUGAAAUCCUGGAGCUCAACUCCAGAACUGCCUUUGAUACUGAGGAGCUAGAGUCCGGGAGAGGUGAGUGGAAUUCCUAGUGUAGAGGUGAAAUUCGUAGAUAUUCGCAAGAACACCAGUGGCGAAGGCGGCUCACUGGCCCGAUACUGACGCUGAGGCACGAAAGCGUGGGGAGCAAACAGGG
rnacentral:rRNA from 1 species